rnacentral:rRNA from 1 species
GACGUAGGGGGCAAGCGUUGUCCGGAAUCAUUGGGCGUAAAGCGCUCGUAGGUGGAUCGGUAAGUCUGCAAAGAAAGACCCGGGCUCAACUCGGGGAACGGUGUGGAUACUACCGAUCUUGAGGCAAUCAGAGGAUGAUGGAAUUCCCGGUGUAGUGGUGGAAUGCGUAGAUAUCGGGAGGAACACCAGUGGCGAAGGCGGUUGCCUGGAGCUUUGCUGACGCUGAUGCGCGAAAGCGUGGGGAGCGAUCCGG